UACGUAGGGCGCAAGCGUUGUCCGGAAUCAUUGGGCGUAAAGAGCUCGUAGGCGGUUUGUCGCGUCUGCUGUGAAAACUCGGGGCUUAACCCCGGGCCUGCAGUGGGUACGGGCAGACUAGAGUGCGGUAGGGGAGACUGGAAUUCCUGGUGUAGCGGUGAAAUGCGCAGAUAUCAGGAGGAACACCCGUGGCGAAGGCGGUUCUCUGGGACGGUACUGACGCUGAGACGCGAAAGCGUGGGGAGCGAACAGG
rnacentral:rRNA from 1 species